GGCUCCUCACUCACUCCCUGUCCCAGGAGGAAGGCAGAGACCAGACCCAGGGGGCUGGGCUGGGGGGCUGGCCCCCAUCCCCAGCCCUGGCAGGAGGAGGGGUCCCCAGGGAGGCCAGGAGGGGGGCUCUGGGUCUCCCAGCAGGGGCGGACGGGGACUGAAUGUUAAUCGCCUCCCGGGUGAGUGUGUGUGUGAGAACACAGCCAGUGUGCGCGUCCCUCCCGCUCCAGCUCCUCCAAGCUGUGGCCGCGCCGCCACCCUCCGCCCGCAGCCUGCCCGGGCCGCCGGAGCCCAGCUGGGGGGUGCUGGCCCGGGUGGGUCCACCCGGCCCCCAGGGGCCUCCCGUGCGUCUGCCAUCUGCCCGCGCAACAUGUGUAGCCGCGUCCUCGCCUAGUCCGGGUGGCCGCAACCUUGGGGGGACAGGACCGAGGAAGAGGAGAGAGAGACGGAGCCAGGGACAAGCAGGAGGUCCCCACCGCCGCCGCUGCCGCCCCAGGGCCUGCCCCCCACCCCCACCCCCUCCAUCGGCUCCCUGAGCCCUCUGCUGAAUCUUCGGGUCGCUGGACUCCGGGUUCCUGUCCUGACCCCCCAGUCUCUCCCCCCACAGAUCAGGGUCAUGAAAAGCUGUCUGAGGAGUGGACUUGGUCCGUGCUACCAUGGCAACCAGAGAAGAGACUGACAGCCAAGAGAGAACCCUUGUCUGCCUGGACCCUCACCCCUUUCAGCAAGCCCGGGGUGCAGGUUCUGAUCCCUCUUGGGAACAAGGAAUCCAGGCCCCUGGCCCCUCCUCCCGCCAAUACCAGAGACCAAGCUCCCAGCCCCUCCUGCCUCGGACCCAGGAGUCCAGGCUCCCAGCCCUGCCACCCCAGGCAGUCAGAAUUCAACAGGGGGAAGAAACACUGUAUUUC